rnacentral:rRNA from 1 species
AAAAAAGCCGGCGAGUCCCGGACGCCAUGCCUCCGAGAAAAGCCUCUAGGGAGAGCGCACGUGCCCGUACCAAAACCGACACAGGUGGGCAAGUAGAGAAUACUAAGGUGAUCGAGAUAACCAUCGUUAAGGAACUCGGCAAAAUCGCUCCGUAACUUCGGGAUAAGGAGCGCCCCAGUAGGGUGAAGCACCUCGCGUGCGGAGCCUGAGAGGGCCGCAGUGAAUAGGUUCAACCGACUGUUUACCAAAAACACAGGGCUCUGCUAAGUCGUAAGACGACGUAUAGGGUCUGACGCCUGCCCGGUGCCGGAAGGUUACGUGGAGGUGUUAGGCGUAAGCCGAAGCACUGAAACUAAGCCCCGGUAAACGGCGGCGGUAACUAUAACCGUCCUAAGGUAGCGAAAUUCCUUGUCGGGUAAGUUCCGACCUGCACGAAUGGCGUAACGAGUUGAACGCUGUCUCAACGAUGGGCUCGGUGAAAUUGCAGUCUCGGUGAAGAUGCCGAGUACCCGUGGCUAGACGGAAAGACCCCGUGAACCUUUACUACAACCUGGUAUUGGAGUGCGGUGCAUCUCGCUCAGGAUAGGAGGGAGGCUUUGAAGCGCCGGCUGCGGCUGGCGUGGAGCCAACCUUGAGAUACCUCCCUUGAUGUAUUGUGCUUCUAACACCGCGCCGUAAUCCGGGCGGUGAACAGUGCCAGGCGGGUAGUUUGACUGGGGCGGUCGCCUCCCAAAAUGUAACGGAGGCGCGCAAAGGUUCCCUCAGCACUGUUGGAAAUCGUGCGCAGAGUGCAAAAGCAGCAAGGGAGCUUGACUGUGAGACCGACAGGUCGAGCAGGUGCGAAAGCAGGCUUUAGUGAUCCGGCGGUAGCAAGUGGAAGUGCCGUCGCUCAACGGAUAAAAGGUACUCCGGGGAUAACAGGCUUAUCGAGUCCAAGAGUCCACAUCGACGACUCGGUUUGGCACCUCGAUGUCGGCUCGUCGCAUCCUGGGGCUGAAGUAGGUCCCAAGGGUUGGGCUGUUCGCCCAUCAAAGCGGUACGCGAGCUGGGUUCAGAACGUCGUGAGACAGUUCGGUCCCUAUCUGCCAUGGGCGUUGGAGAGUUGAAAGGAUUCGUCCCUAGUACGAGAGGACCGGGAUGAACGCACCUCUGGUGUAUCUGUUGUCCUGCCAAGGGCAUCGCAGGUUAGCUACGUGCGGACCGGAUAACCGCUGAAGGCAUCUAAGCGGGAAGCCGACCUUGAGAUGAGCUCUCCCACCUCCUCGAGAGGGUAAGACCCCUAGUAGACCACUAGGUUGAUAGGCCGGAUCUGGAAGGGUGGUAACACCCGCAGGAGACCGGUACUAAUGGGUCGAGGGCUUGACGG